rnacentral:rRNA from 1 species
CCCUUAGACGUUCUGGGCCGCACGCGCGCUACACUGACCAGUGCAACAAGCAUCCGUCCUUGGCCGACAGGCCCGGGCAAUCUUUGAACGCUGGUCGUGAUGGGGAUAGACUUUUGCAAUUUUUGGUCUUCAACGAGGAAUUCCUAGUAAACGCAAGUCAUCAACUUGCAGUGAUUACGUCCCUGCCCUUUGUACACACCGCCCGUCGCACCUACCGAUUGAAUGGUCCGGUGAAGCCUCCGGAUUGGCGCGCACCUCGGUGCCGCCGAGAAGUUGGCUAAACCUUACCAUUUAGAGGAAGGUGAAGUCGUAACA